rnacentral:rRNA from 1 species
GACGAACGCUGGCGGCGUGCCUAAUACAUGCAAGUAGAACGCUGAAGAGAGGAGCUUGCUCUUCUUGGAUGAGUUGCGAACGGGUGAGUAACGCGUAGGUAACCUGCCUGGUAGCGGGGGAUAACUAUUGGAAACGAUAGCUAAUACCGCAUAAAAUGGAUUAUCGCAUGAUAAUGCAUUGAAAGGUGCAAAUGCAUCACUACCAGAUGGACCUGCGUUGUAUUAGCUAGUUGGUGGGGUAACGGCUCACCAAGGCGACGAUACAUAGCCGACCUGAGAGGGUGAUCGGCCACACUGGGACUGAGACACGGCCCAGACUCCUACGGGAGGCAGCAGUAGGGAAUCUUCGGCAAUGGACGGAAGUCUGACCGAGCAACGCCGCGUGAGUGAAGAAGGUUUUCGGAUCGUAAAGCUCUGUUGUAAGAGAAGAACGAGUGUGAGAGUGGAAAGUCACACUGUGACGUAUCUACCAG